rnacentral:rRNA from 1 species
UGAGGAAUAUUGGUCAAUGGAGGCAACUCUGAACCAGCCAUGCCGCGUGCAGGAAGACUGCCCUAUGGGUUGUAAACUGCUUUUAUACAGGAAGAAACCUUCCCACGUGUGGGAAGCUGACGGUACUGUAAGAAUAAGGACCGGCUAACUCCGUGCCAGCAGCCGCGGUAAUACGGAGGGUCCAAGCGUUAUCCGGAAUCAUUGGGUUUAAAGGGUCCGCAGGCGGGCAAUUAAGUCAGAGGUGAAAUCCUAUAGCUCAACUAUAGAACUGCCUUUGAUACUGGUUGUCUUGAGUUACUUGGAAGUAGAUGGAAUAUGUGGUGUAGCGGUGAAAUGCAUAGAUAUCACAUAGAACACCGAUUGCGAAGGCAGUCUACUACGAGUAUACUGACGCUCAUGGACGAAAGCGUGGGGAGCGAACAGG